ACUGAACGCUGGCGGCAGGCCUAACACAUGCAAGUCGAACGAGUGGCGGACGGGUGAGUAAUGUCUGGGAACCUGCCUGAUGGAGGGGGAUAACUACUGGAAACGGUAGUUAUUACCGCAUACCAUCGGAUGUGCCCAGAUGGGAUUGGCUAGUAGGUGGGGUAAAGGCUAACCUAGGCGACGAUCCCUAGCUGGUCUGAGAGGAGGACCAGCCACACUGGAACGGAGACACGGUCAAGAUUCCUACGGGAGGCAGAAGUGGGGAAUAUUGCACAAUGGGCGCAAGCCUGAUGCAGCCAGGCCGCGUGUAUGAGGAAGGCCUUCGGGUUGUAAAGUACUUUCAGCGGGGAGGCGUUACCCGCAGAAGAAGCACCGGCUAACUCCGUGCCAGCCGCCGCGGUAAUUC
rnacentral:rRNA from 1 species